rnacentral:tRNA from 1 species
GUGAAUUUAGUUUAACCAAAAACACUUAAUUUGCAAUUAAAAAAUCUAAUAUAUUAAUAGAAUUCACAUA